UACGUAGGAUCCGAGCGUUGUCCGGAUUACUGGGCGUAAAGCGUGCGCAGGCGGUUUUGCAAGCCGGAUGUGAAAUCCCCGGGCUCAACCUGGGAAUGGCAUUCGGGACUGCAAGGCUGGAGUGCGGCAGAGGAGACUGGAAUUCCUGGUGUAGCAGUGAAAUGCGUAGAUAUCAGGAGGAAUACCGAUGGCGAAGGCAGGUCUCUGGGCUGACACUGACGCUCAUGCACGAAAGCGUGGGGAGCA
rnacentral:rRNA from 1 species